rnacentral:tRNA from 1 species
CUCCCGUAGCAUAUUGAUAAUGCAUCUGGCUUUGAACCAGAGGAACACAGUUCAAUUCUGUGCGGGAGUGCCA